AUUGAACGCUGGCGGCAGGCCUAACACAUGCAAGUCGAACGAGUGGCGGACGGGUGAGUAAUUUCUGGGAAACUGCCCGAUGGCGGGGGAUAACUACUGGAAACGGUAGCUAAUCCCGCAUACCAUCGGAUGUGCCCCUAUGGGAUUAGCUAGUUGGGGGGGUAAUGGCUCACCUAGGCGACGAUCCCUAGCUGGUCUGAGAGGAUGACCAGCCACACUGGAACGGAGACACGGUCCAGACUCCUACGGGAGGCAGCAGUGGGGAAUAUUGCACAAUGGGCGAAAGCCUGAUGCAGCCAUGCCGCGGGUAUGAAGAAGGCCUGCGGGUUGUAAAGUACUUUCAGCGAGGAGGCGUUACUCGCAGAAGAAGCACCGGCUAACUCCGUGCCAGCAGCCGCGGUAAUUC
rnacentral:rRNA from 1 species